CCUGCCGUAGUUGCCGGAUACUGGAGGUCAGCCGGAGGAGGUGUGCGUUGAAAGCAUCUACAGCGAAAUGUCAUGAAAGUACCGAAAUGAAAGGAAUUAACAUAACUUCAGAAAUUGUGUACUUUAAACGACUGUUGACUGUAUCGCAGUUGGGAGGGAAACUAAAAUAGUUGAAAGGAGAACCAAGCUCCAGAAGAAUCUUGAGAAAACCUUCCGUCCGUUUUGUCCUACAAAGAGCCGCCGACAGUUGAUAGUGCGAGGUGCACUGCGCAGGCCUGACAUUGCAUUAGCCACAUAAAAGAUUGCUGUGUCGGACGGCACCUGAAAUAGCAAAUGAUAUUUAUGAAAGACUUUGAUUUGUGAAUAAAUAAGCAGUUGCAAAGAUGAGAAAGGACGUAAGGAUAUUACUCGUCGGGGAGCCUAAAGUGGGGAAAACGUCCCUGAUCAUGUCAUUGGUCAGUGAGGAGUUCCCUGAUGAGGUUCCCCUUCGAGCCGAGGAGAUCACAAUCCCUGCAGACGUCACCCCAGAGAGAGUCCCCACACACAUAGUGGACUACUCAGAAGCAGAGCAGUCUGAUGAACAGCUGUAUCAGGAAAUCUCUAAGGCAAACGUUAUCUGCAUAGUGUACUCUGUCAACAACAAGAAGUCCAUUGAGAAGGUGACAAGCCAUUGGAUUCCCCUUAUAAAUGACAGGACGGACAAGGAUAGCAGGGUUCCUCUGAUCCUGGUGGGGAACAAGUCUGACCUGGUGGAGCACAGCAGUAUGGAGACCAUUCUGCCCAUCAUGAACCAGUAUUCCGACAUAGAGACCUGCGUGGAGUGUUCUGCUAAAAACCUGAAGAACAUUUCUGAGCUCUUCUAUUACGCCCAGAAGGCCGUGCUCCACCCUACUGGACCCCUGUACUGCCCAGAGGAGAAGGAGAUGAAGCCGUCUUGCAUCAAGUCUCUCACUCGCAUCUUCAAAGUGUCGGAUCUUGACAACGACGGCAUCCUCAACGACAAUGAACUCAACUUCUUCCAGAGGACGUGUUUCAACACACCGCUGGCGCCCCAGGCCUUGGAGGACGUGAAGAACGUGGUGAGGAAGAACAUGACGGACGGCGUGAAGGACAACGGCCUCACACUCAAAGGGUUCCUGUUCCUGCACACGCUCUUCAUCCAGAGGGGCCGCCACGAGACCACCUGGACGGUGCUGCGGAGGUUCGGCUACGACGACGACCUGGAGCUCACCCAGGAGUACCUCUUCCCCCUAAUGAAGAUCCCUCUGGACUGCACCACAGAGCUAAACCACAAUGCAUACCUUUUCCUCCAGAGUGUCUUCGACAAGCAUGAUAAAGACAGAGACUGUGCCUUGUCUCCAGACGAGGUGAAGGACUUGUUUAAGAUCUUCCCCUACAUGCCUUGGGGCCCUGACGUCAACAACACCGUUUGUACCAACGAGCAGGGCUGGAUUACCUACCAGGGAUACCUCUCCCAGUGGACGCUAACGACCUACCUGGACGUACAGAGGUGUUUGGAGUACAUGGGCUACCUGGGCUACUCCAUCAUCUGCGAACAGGAGUCUCAGGCUGCAGCCAUCACAGUGACUCGUAACAAGCGCAUCGACCUGCAGAAGAAGCAGACCCAGCGCAGCGUGUUCCGCUGCAACAUCCUGGGAGGCCGUGGCAGCGGGAAGAGUGCCUUCCUGCAGGCCUUCCUGGGCCGGAACCUUCAGAAACAGAGGAAGAUCCGUGAGGACCACAAGUCACUCUACGCCAUCAGCACCACCUACGUCUACGGCCAGGAGAAGUACCUGCUGCUCCACGAGGUCAUGCCAGAUUUUGACUUCCUCUCCGAGACAGACCUGGCAUGUGACGUUGUCUGCUUGGUGUACGACGUCAACAACCCCCGCUCGUUCGAGUACUGCGCCAAAGUCUACAAGCAAUACUUCAUGGACAGCAAGACGCCGUGCAUGAUGAUCGCGGCCAAGUCGGACCUGCACGAGGCCCGCCAGCAUCACACCCUGACGCCGCUGGAGUUCUGCCGCAAGCACAAGCUCCACCCCCCUCAGCCCUUCACCUGCAACACGGCGGAGGCGCCCGGCAGAGACAUAUACACCAAACUCACCACCAUGGCCAUGUACCCCCACGCCCGCCUCCGCUGCAUGUGCUCCUGCAACCGGUGCACCUUCUGCAUCGCUCAGAACAUCCUCAGGUCCCAGCUUCUGAGGACGGUCAAGGCCAAACUCUACCGUGUGGUUCUCAACAGGCCCACUCAGCCCUCCCUGACCCAGCGCCUCGCCCUGAUCUCUGCCUCCACGCUGCGCCGCCUGACCCCCACACUCCUAACCAGGGAGGUACCCCGGGGGCCCCCCCACGUCCUGUUAGAACCGCCCUGUCUGUGCAUGUCUGCCGGCCGAUGUCUGUCGUUCAUUGGCCGCGAGCGUGACCUCGAUGAUAUCGGUGAUGGAACGCUACUCAGACUCUGAACUAACCGCAUGGGUUUCUUCUGUUAAGAAAAGCACCUCACAAGUUGGAGGUUUAGACCAGCCUCGUUGUUGAAUGUGGUGUCGCCUGUCAUGCGAGGUGGAUAUGCAAAUAGUAGGCUAAAUCGACCACAUCAUCUACAUGGCGAGGGUCAAAUGUAACCAGCGCUUGUGUUCUGGUUGGUUCAUUUGACUGUUUGCCAUCACGCUGGAAACCUUACAGCAGUCUGCCUGUCACUCCCUAGUCUUUACUAAUGGAGACGCAUAUCUAACAUAGAUCAAAAGUGGGCUGCUUGCAUGUUUAGUUUUUCCUCCUUUGUCUGUUUCGAUGCCUGUAGACUGCCUGACUGGAUUUCUGUGGUGUUUUCAGUGUGAAACGAUUCGUACACCUGAAGUCUGUACCCACAUUUGGACAACUUUAAAAAAUAGUACAUUACAUAGGACUAGUCUUGUUCUUUCAAACAAAUAUGAGUGUCUCUUUAUGGAGCUCAAUCAGAGCACAUACUGUAGCUCCAUUGCCUUCGUUUACUCAAGCUCGAAAAACACGACUCCGUUAUGUUGUUCUACAUUCAAAGUUGUCUGGUGAGUUCAAACGGAUGAAGCACACAUUGAAUGCUCCAAUAACAUAUUUUCCUAGUUUUCUCAUUCCCAUGAUCAGUAUCACACAUUGACCGUGUCUGAAUCCCACGUUCAUUUCAUAGAGCCGUGUUUUGUCUGUCUCGUUUUCUUCCGUCCUUCCACCCCACAGGUGUUCAUCCACUCGUGUCUGGCUGCCCCUCUUUCUCUUCCUGUUGCAUGUGUUUACCUUCUGCUAACUCGCCCUGUUCCCUCAUGCAUGCGUUGUCUGCCUGUUUUCCUGCCUGUCUGCCUGCCUGCCUGCAUCUCUGUCCCUAACCCUCUGUUUGUACAAAGGGCUCUGUCCUUGUCCAUAGCUCAACAUCGCCCCCUAAGGGAGAAACGUUGUAGCCCACUAAAAGCAGAAAGCGGUGUAAAGACCACCUGGUCUGUAUGUGGUGGGAUUCAGCUAAUUGUAUCUCAGUGCAGGGUCUGAAUGGCCCACCUCUGUAAGCCUGACACGGCAUUGUGCGUGUACAAUAGAGGACUGUGUUGGAUGUGUGUACUGUAUAUUGGUUAGUGGCCAGGCUGACAAAGGGCUUUGGGGCUAGGUGUGCAGGGACCCAGGCACGCCUACUCUAAUACUGGUGUCUGACAAUGCUGGACUAACUCUUUUGUUGUUCUUUGAACCUUUUUAGAAGAGGGGGUUAACAUACCAAUAAUGGCACGUCACUAAAAUACAUUUGGCUAACUGCCUGACAGUUGGGGCCACACACAGCACUCCACAGUACAAACUUUUGGUUUUGAAAUGAGUACGCUAAUUCAAUAGUCUCUCUCAAAAAAAGAGAAUAUUCUGUCCACGAGGCCCCACCAGUGUUUAGACUUGACUGCGGUUCGUGGUGGAGGGAGACAACAUUUAGUAAGUCGUACGUACACAAUAGUGGUUCACCGUGUGCAUUGCACCCAGGUAUUGUUGGGUGGUGGUGUGGUUUCGUUUUGAGUGGUGGUGUGGUUUCGUUUGUGUGUGUGUGUGUGUGUGUGUGCAAGCAUCGUGUGUGUGUGUGCCGUCCAAGGUUGUUGGGCAGCGUCAGGGGCCUGCCUGGCUGACGAGGAGCCACAGCCUGGUCCAGCAGGGGCCCCGUCAUCACUGCCGUAGAGGAGUCCAUCUACAUGCAGCUUUCUGUGGAGCUCUCUGUGCACCUGCACAGACACAUGGCUCAGGUGGACCUGAAGAGCUCUACGUUCUGGCUGAGGGCGAGCGUGGGUGCCACCGUGUGUGCGGUGCUGGGCUUUGCCAUGUACAGAGCUCUCCUCAAACAACGAUGAUCAGCUGCCAGACAUGAGGCAACUAACCGCCCCGUGGUCCCUCAGCCCUGUUGCCCCCCCCACUUUUCCUUCAUGGAUGACAAAAUGCCCAACCAUUGUCCUGCCCACCUGAACCAUACCCCUUCUCCAUAGGAGAGAACAAACGAGAAAUCAUAGAUGCAUUUUAUAUAUUUGAAACUGAACUGAGUGUCAUUUUGCAACUAUAUGUCUGUUUUUUCCGGGGUUAUUUUUUUCCUUUUUUGGGGAAGGGGGGAACAUCAGCUCACCACCGUCUAAUCGGUCACAGGCUAUCUGGGAUCUUGUGCUCUUGUCUAGUCAUGGGGGUUUUCUCUGGUCAGACAGUACUAGCAGUAGUUGCUGGUUGUUUUUAAAGUACAUAGUAACAUAACCCGGCUUUUUUUCUCAGGUCAGUAUUAGCUAGCUGGUCAUAUCCAGGCCAGAGAGAGCAGAGGGCAGCCGCACUCAGAACCCACUUCAAAAGGGACUGAACAACAUUGUUUAUAGUUAUGUAUGUAUAUAUUAUAUUACCAGGGUACUACUUAGGAGUACCUGAUGAGAACACAUUAAGAACAAAAGCUUGCCACAGUGAAUGAAGGGUUCAGCUCCUCACCCAGACUGCACAACAGGGUUGUCGUUCAUCAAAGCCAUUUUCAACGUCAAAGAAGUCAUGGGUUUCUGUGCACAUUUCACCUGUAUUAAUUUAUUAACCUUAUUUUGUGUGUCUGUUUGAACAGUUUGCUCAUCGUCGCAUGAAGCACAUACAGCUGCAAGGAACUUUAUAUUUUCCAUGUAUUUUUGUAUCUGGUAUUAUCAAAGCCGUCUCCACCAUAAAUGUCAAUCCUGUGCUUCUUGGGUUUUUAUUUUCCGCUUUUGAGAUAGAAUUUUUGCCUCUUAUAUUUUUAUGAAGUUAGACACUACUGUCGAGCCUGUAGAGAGGAUUCUGUUAUUAACAGCCAUUCUGUGCACCUUUCCCAGCCUGAACCAUGGAACUGUUUAUUCUCAGAACUGACUUUUCCAACAUUUACAAUAAAGAACUGUGUGAUCUGA